rnacentral:rRNA from 1 species
UACGUAGGUGGCGAGCGUUGUCCGGAUUUACUGGGCGUAAAGGGCGUGCAGGCGGUUUGUUAAGUGCAGAGUGAAAGCUCCCGGCUCAACUGGGAGAGGUCUUUGCAUACUGGCAAACUCGAGGGAGGCAGAGGAAAGUGGAAUUCCCGGUGUAGUGGUGAUAUGCGUAGAUAUCGGGAGGAACACCAGUGGCGAAGGCG